rnacentral:rRNA from 1 species
GACGAACGCUGGCGGCGUGCUUAACACAUGCAAGUCGAACGGAAAGGCCCUGCUUUUGUGGGGUGCUCGAGUGGCGAACGGGUGAGUAACACGUGAGUAACCUGCCCUUGACUUUGGGAUAACUUCAGGAAACUGGGGCUAAUACCGGAUAGGAGCUCCUGCUGCAUGGUGGGGGUGGGAAAGUUUCGGCGGUUGGGGAUGGACUCGCGGCUUAUCAGCUUGUUGGUGGGGUAGUGGCUUACCAAGGCUUUGACGGGUAGCCGGCCUGAGAGGGUGACCGGCCACAUUGGGACUGAGGUACGGCCCAGACUCCUACGGGAGGCAGCAGUGGGGAAUAUUGCACAGUGGGCGGAAGCCUGAUGCAGCAACGCCGCGUGCGGGAUGACGGCCUUCGGGUUGUAAACCGCUUUCGCCUGUGACGAAGCGUGAGUGACGGUAAUGGGUAAAGAAGCACCGGCUAACUACGUG